GACGAACGCUAGCGGCGUGCCUAAGAAAUGCAAGUCGAGCGGGAGGCACCUCGCAAGGGGUGUCUCUAGCGGCGAACGGUCGCGUAACGCGUAGGCAACCUGCCCUGCAAGACCGGGAUAACACCUCGAAAGGGGUGCUAAUACCGGAUGAGGUCGUGUGGAGGCAUCUUCAUGCGACGAAACCCGUUCCUUUGGAACGGGCUUGAGGAGGGGCCUGCGUCCUAUCAGCUAGAUGGUGGGGUAACGGCCUACCAUGGCGACGACGGGUAGCUGGUCU
rnacentral:rRNA from 1 species